GACGAACGCUGGCGGCGUGCUUAACACAUGCAAGUCGAGCGGAGCGGCGAACGGGUGAGUAACGCGGGAGUAACUGCCCCCCUCUCUGGGAUAACAGUUGGAAACGGGUGCUAAUACCGGAUAGUGGGGGAUGACUCGGGUCCUAUCAGCUUGUCGGUGGGGUAGUGGCCGACCAAGGCGACGACGGGUAGCCGGCCUGGGCGGGGGACCGGCCACAUGGGGCUGGGAUACGGCCCAGACUCCUACGGGGGGCAGCAGUGGGGAAUAUUGCACAAUGGGGGAAACCCUGAGGCAGCAACGCCGCGUGCGGGAUGACGGCCUUCGGGUUGUAAACCGCUUUCAGCCAUGACGCGGUAGUGGCAGAAGAAGCACCGGCUAACUACGUGCCAGCAGCCGCGGUAAUUC
rnacentral:rRNA from 1 species